rnacentral:rRNA from 1 species
AACGGAGGGUGCAAGCGUUGCUCGGAAUUACUGGGCGUAAAGCGCGUGUAGGUGGUCUUUUAAGUCUGAUGUGAAAGCCCUCGGCUUAACUGAGGAAUGGCAUCGGAUACUGGAAGGCUUUGAGUAUGGGAGAAGGGGGCGGAAUUCCUGGUGUAGCGGUGAAAUGCGUAGAUAUCAGGAGGAACACCGGCGGCGAAAGCGGCUCCCUGGCCCAAUACUGACACUCAGGACGCGAGAGCGUGGGUAGCAAACAGG